rnacentral:rRNA from 1 species
UACGUAGGUGGCUAGCGUUGUCCGGAUUUACUGGGCGUAAAGAGCACGCAGGCGGUCGUUCAAGUCGAGUGUGAAAGCCCCCGGCUCAACUGGGGAGGGUCACUCGAUACUGAUCGACUCGAAGGCAGGAGAGGGAAGCGGAAUUCCCGGUGUAGUGGUGAAAUGCGUAGAUAUCGGGAGGAACACCAGUGGCGAAGGCGGCUUUCUGGCCUGUUCUUGACGCUGAGGCGCGAAAGCUAGGGUAGCAAACGGG